UGGGGAAUAUUGGACAAUGGGCGCAAGCCUGAUCCAGCCAUGCCGCGUGAGUGAAGAAGGCCUUCUGGUUGUAAAGCUCUUUCGGCCGGGAAGAAAUCGUUGUGUCGAAUAAACACAAUGGAUGACGGUACCGGAAUAAGAAGCACCGGCUAACUACGUGCCAGCAGCCGCGGUAAUACGUAGGGUGCGAGCGUUAAUCGGAAUUACUGGGCGUAAAGCGCGCGUAGGCGGCUUUGUCAGUCAGGGGUGAAAUCCCGGGGCUCAACCCCGGAACUGCCUUUGAUACUGCGAGGCUUGAGUCCGUGAGAGGAUGGUGGAAUACCCAGUGUAGAGGUGAAAUUCGUAGAUAUAUGGAAGAACGCCAGCGGCGAAGGCGGCUUACUGGACAACAACUGACGUU
rnacentral:rRNA from 1 species